GGCCGUUACACCUGCCACUUCAGAUUUGCCUGGAAAUAAUGGUGUAUCGCUUAAUAGGUCCUUUCAAAACCUGUAAAUAACAGCUGUUACGUUACGUAACGGCUGUUAUUUGCAACCUUGCUUGUAAUAGUGCAUCUUAGUUUUGCAUGCCACAUGGUCCGUGUUUAAUUCAGCUGUUAUUGGAUUUUGUUUUUUGGUUUUUGUUUGUUGCCCAUUUAACUUGGUAAUAUAUUGUUGAAGUUCUUGACUUGCCCUACCUUAUGUUUUGUUUUUAGACCGG
rnacentral:misc_RNA from 1 species